UACAGAGGGGGCAAGCGUUGUUCGGAAUUACUGGGCGUAAAGGGCGCGUAGGCGGCCUGUUAAGUCGAACGUGAAAUCCCUGGGCUCAACCCAGGAACUGCGUCCGAUACUGGCAGGCUUGAAUUCGGGAGAGGGAUGCGGAAUUCCAGGUGUAGCGGUGAAAUGCGUAGAUAUCUGGAAGAACACCGGUGGCGAAGGCGGCAUCCUGGACCGACAUUGACGCUGAGGCGCGAAAGCCAGGGGAGCAAACGGG
rnacentral:rRNA from 1 species